GUACAUACCUACAUAUCCACUCCGAAAACAGAGAGAGAAGAAGGAAAGAGUAGGGAAAUCCUUUUCACAGAAUCGUCCCUCUAUAUCUAUCUUUUUUUUUUUUGCCUUUUCCUAC
rnacentral:ribozyme from 14 species